rfam:Acidobacteria bacterium 13_1_40CM_56_16 13_1_40cm_scaffold_1663, whole genome shotgun sequence.
CUUCGGGCUCUGUGCAACGAGGUCCCGCGAACCCCGCCAGGCCCGGAAGGGAGCAACGGUACCGGGACCACCUCGGGUGCCGCAGAUCACCCGAAGUUC